rnacentral:rRNA from 1 species
GUUAUAGGGACAAGUGAAUAAGUGCACAUGGCGGAUGCCUUGGCGAUUACAGGCGAUGAAGGACGUAGUAGCUUGCGAUAAGCUGCGGGGAGCUAGCAAACAAGCUUUGAUCCGCAGAUUUCCGAAUGGGGAAACCCACCCUUUUAGGGUAUCACGCACUGAAUACAUAGGUGUGUGAGGCGAACGCGGCGAACUGAAACAUCUAAGUAGCUGCAGGAAAAUAAAUCAACCGAGAUUCCCAAAGUAGUGGCGAGCGAAAUGGGAAGAGCCUGUACGUGAUAGUCGGACUGAUAGUGGAAUGCUCUGGAAAUGGCAGCCAUAGCGGGUGAUAGCCCCGUACACGAAAUCAGACCGGUGGUACUAAGCGUACGACAAGUAGGGCGGGACACGAGAAAUCCUGUCUGAAUAUGGGGGGACCAUCCUCCAAGGCUAAAUACUCGUAAUCGACCGAUAGUGAACCAGUACCGU